rnacentral:rRNA from 1 species
UCUUGUAAAUUAAGACUUGUAUGAAUGGAUAAAUGGGGUAAUUCUUUCUUAAGCUAAGUAUUAAAAAUAAUUUUUUUAGUGAAGAAACUAAAAUGAUAGUGAGGGACGAGAAGACCCUAUUAAGCUUUAUAUAAUUAUUUUGUUGGGGAAACAAAAGAAGAAAAUUUCUUUUUAAAAAGUUUUUGAUAAAUUUUGAUUUAUUAUUAAUGAUGAUAGAAUAAGUUACUAUAGGGAUAACAGCAUAAUUUUUUUAACAAGUUCUUAUUAAUAAAGAAGAUUAUGACCUCGAUGUUGGAUUAAAAAUAUUAUAUGGUGUAGCGGUUGUAUAAAUUAGUCUGUUCGACUAUUAAAUUUUUA